ensembl:lncRNA
UGCUGUUGUGGUUGGUGAUUCAUCCCGGGGUGCAUGCCCCCAGGCUGACCCAGCCUCAUCAUGGCCUGCUGCUGAGCCAUGUGAGGUGGAGGAGCCAUUCCCGGUCCCAUGAACCUCUGCUGCUGGUGCUGGGGCUGCAUGGCGUGCAUGGGCCGCGGACCCAUUCCCGGCUGGCCCAUCAUGACUUGGGGAGGCGGACGGUGGUGGUGCUGCUGCUGCAGCAUCAGGGCGCCAGGAGGGGCCUGCGGGUUGGGCUGUUGACCGGGCAUGCCCUGCAUGUGGCUGGGCAUGCCUGCCUGGUGCAUGGAGCUGAGCUGCUGCUGAUGUUGCUGUUGUUGCUGCUGCUGCUGCUGUUGUUGCUGCUUCUGCUGCUCCUUCUUCUCAUGCUCCAGUAGAUCCUGUAUGAGAAGAGGCAACUCCCCGUCUAAAGAGCUCUCUACCUUGGCCAUGUCUACAGAAGGAGAGGGUAGGAUAUUCCCCCUAAGCGAACAGAGCUGAGAGAGGCAGACGGAGCCUGCGGUUGUGUUUGCUUGCCUGAUGCACCCGUUCCACCCAGUAACAUGGAUACGGCCUCUCCCAUCUCGUCUUUGAUGACCAUCUGUCCGUCCUGAUGCUGUGGCAUUAGGCCUCGGUCCUCCAGUUUGAUUUUGGAGGUGCUGGCCGUCUCUGAGGGGGGAGCGUGAAGAGCUGAUGAGGCUGACGUAUCUGAAACCUGUCCAGGCUCCAGCUUGGGUUUCUGCUCCACCUUGAUGUCAGCAGAGCCAGAGGCAGUAGGCGCCUCGCUCUCCGCCUCCACCAAGCGGAGCUGGUCCGAGAACACGUCUUUUGGGUCCCCUUGGUCUAGCUCGGGGUCAGUGUAGGCCAGCAGAUCAAACUCGUCACUGUUCAGCAGAUCGUCAAGGUGUGGGUCAUUGGUUUCUAGAUUGUCAAGGUUACCCAGGUCGUCAUCUCCUUUGUCAGGGUCCAGGUCGAGGGCCAGGUCGUCGUCCUCCACACCGCCAUCCCCAGGGGCGUCCGAAAGGCCCUCCAGGUCAGGUUCAGGCAGGUCGACGCUCGGGUCAACCUGAGGCCCUAUGCUAGGCUGUGGAGGAUGAUGCUGCUGCUGCUGCUGCUGCUGCUGCUGCUGUUGUUGUUGCUGCUGCGGUUGUUGCUGCUGUUGCUGUGAUCCAGGAUGGUUGGACGAGUGAGCGAUUGUUUGUUGCGGAUGCUGGCCUUGUUGCGUUGCAGGGCAAGUGGGCAUCAACAUCGAUAGUCCUCCCUGCUGCAGCCCCAUCUGUGAGUCGCCAGCCCGGUCGACCUGCAUGGUAUGUUGCUGCACAUAAGGCGCUGCGAGGUCCUGUUGGGGAGGGCAGAGACGGGGUCUGGCCUGUGGCCCUCUGAGCAUGAAAUGGGGUCCGAGGGGCAACCUCUGAGCGUUGUGCCUUAACUCGAUGAACUGCGGUGGGGGUCCCUGCCCCAUUGGCUGCAUGGCCUCUCCGGGCCCGGCCAUCAUGCCACGGGGGUUCACCAUCCCCUGCAUGGCCUGCAUAUUGACGGCAGGGUUGAGGUGAUGCCGGGGGGGCAUGGAGUCCAUGCCAGGCGGUGGGAACCUCCG